AUCGGAACUCUGUGUCCUCUGCAACAUGACCCAGAAUUGACGCUGUUAGUUUCAGAUUGCUGACAUCUGGGACAACCUCCUGGUCCCAUGUGCCCCACGGAGCUACACAAUGUGUUUCUGAGAAUGGAAGUGAGCAGAGAUGAUGUGCAGCAGCUCCUGGCAAGGCUUUGGAAGAAAGCCUGGAGUGAAGACAUGACCCGACCUCUAAAGGAGUUAGCCCCACCGCACAAGAAUGGCAGGACCACACAGACCGAACAAGAUGUCCCUCGGAGAUUCAGUGUCGGUGACUGAUGCCUCACAUGGCAGCAGCAGAUCCACCCUGCCUCCAGGCACGGAGGAUAGACUGACUCACAGGAGAGUGGUGGUAUCUGCUGGAUCCCCAAGAUUUCACCAGCUUCUGAGAGCAGCUGGAUAACUAGAGUAACUAGAGUGUCUCCCAUUCCUUAGAAUAGGUUUUGUCUUCCCAAACAGUAAUCAUGCAUUCCUACCUGACCAUGGGAUUUUUGCACCCAGAAACUAAAGCAGUUGAGUCCUACAAGAACUCAUCAGGAAGGCAGUAGGCAGGCUGUGCAUCCAGCCAGCCAUGUUGGGCCUCCAGAGAUAAAUGCGAACUGACAUUCUUCUACAGUU
rnacentral:lncRNA from 1 species